UGCUUAUAAGCAUCAGACAUGCCCUGUGGUGGCCGCCCUGGAGAAGGAAGCAGCCCUGGUGGUAGUGAGAGCAGGAGUGCCCAGAGGGCCACCUCCCCUGCGGCGCCAUCAGCUCUGAGAGUUGAGACCCAGGGUGUGCAGCGGUGGGGACAGAGGCUGUCCACAGAUGUGCCGCCUAUGACCGAAGGCCCCAACGCCCCGGUGAUGGCAACCACUGUGGGAGGAAGACCACUGGGCACCAAUGGCUGUGGCAGAUGACAAGGCCUGGGCCAGCAUGUGCCGGGUGGGGUGGCAGCUGGCCGUUGAGGUCCACUGUGGUUUGGAGCAAGCUGGCCAGACUGGAAGACUAAGUGCUACCAGCUGGGGCUCAAACGGUCAACAUGUGAAAGAAUUUCACACAGAAACUGCAAUGCUGGCCUCUCUAUGCAGCCUUCCUCUCAGGAACAGACAGGAUCCUUCUGGACAUCUUCUGAUGGACAAUCACACAGCGUAGCCCGGGGGAACUGCUUUAUGACAGUUCUCACACAGAAAGUGGCCUCUUGCAGAUGGAGAGCAGCUGCCAUCUGCACAGAAUCCAUCAUCCUGCCGCCGCGGGAAAGAUGGGAGGAUUUUAGCGUGGGACGGAGCACCGCAGUGUGAUUCAAAUUGCAAGAAGGUGACAAGAAUGAUGGUGUCUUCGAGAGGCUCAUCCAGGAAGCUGAUGGCACCGUGCGGCACUGCAGCCUGACCCCGAGAUGAUGCUGCAGCUUUAUAGUGGCAGGGUCC